UACGAGGGGGGCGAGCGUUGUUCGGAAUUAUUGGGCGUAAAGGGUGCGUAGGCGGUUUUGUAAGGCUUAUGUGAAAUCUAUGGGCUCAACUCAUAGACUGCAUGAGAAACUGCAGGGCUUGAGUAUGGGAGAGGUGAGUGGAAUUCCUGGUGUAGCGGUGAAAUGCGUAGAUAUCAGGAGGAACACCUGUGGCGAAAGCGGCUCACUGGACCAUAUCUGACGCUGAUGCACGAAAGCUAGGGGAGCAAACAGG
rnacentral:rRNA from 1 species